GGCUGUAUAGUGUAGUGGUUUAGCACAUGGGAUUUUGAACGCGUACCCGGGUUCAAUCCGGUGAUUACGUAAGCUUCCCAGGACCCCGGUUCGAACCCGGGUACGGCCU